GACUCACGCACUUCCCUGGACUCCCACCACCAUGGGCCACUAUACUGACUCAACAUACCCUGGAAGCCAAAAUUCUCACACACACUUCCUGACAAGGAACAUUCUAACAUCCCCAACGCUACAGCAGACGAAUCAAACCUCCCACUCCGUGACGGAACCAGAGAUCCCACCAAACCUCACUUUGGCAUAGAACUGCCUCUGAUACGAAUCCAG